UUCUUCUUGUACCCUCUUGUGGUGUUGCCCUGUGUCAGGCAUGGUUCACAUGUAUUAUGUAAGACAAUGUGGGGGGCAACAGCCUGGCCUGGAGUGAUGGGUUGUUGGUGCGCGGGUGCGGCAUUCCUUUCCUGGCUCUGGUGUAGAGUACAUCACUCUCCUUGCUCUGGACUGGAAUCACCGCUGAACACUUUCAUUAUUUUGUAAACCCAUCAUUUUCCUGGCACAGGUUCUCCUGCCGUUUGUCAUGUUGGACGAGGACGAGACCUAGCUGUGCAUUACUACUUCUACCACUUGUGGAGCUGAGUGACGAUUUUCUGUUCCGCUUUCCUCCAUAUCACCUUUUCAUCUCAUCACACCCCUGACCGUCCUCUGACGAGUUGCGUCCUUCUGGAAGUUGCAGUCGCUAGUUUCCUGCCUGCUGCAGUCAUUUGACGUCCCUGGAUCUCCUCUUCUUCUCCGAUGUUUUAAUUCUCGUUCCGUGAACUUUGUUUUUUCGUGAACUUUGUACUCGCGCGUUCGUGGACGUAACUGGAUUUGAAUCGUUGGUCAUCGCUGGAUCUGGACAAGACCAUGGGAGACGCAACUGCGAACAACUUAUCCUUUUCUGGCAUUGUAUAAAUUGUUGUAAUCUGUGCAUUUUCAUUUGUGUUUACAUAUCCAGCUUUCUUUGUUUUUAUUUUGUUUUGACUUCAAGUUGAAGAGUGUUUGAGUGAUUUGAAUUAAAAGUCAUUUUUAAUUCGAGCUGUAAAUA
rnacentral:lncRNA from 1 species